CUGUCUUCUCAGGGUUGCAUUCCCUUUAUCAUGGUCCAUGGGUUACAUGCAGAGGAAAUGGCUCCACAACUUUGGCUGAGUAUUGAUGUCUUCCAACUGAGUCUCCAGCAAACUGUUGUGGUGUUACUGACUUGUGCUAGGUCACCUGAUUUAAAAGAGAUGCAUUCCUUUUCCUUCAUGAGCCAUCCAUAGAAAGUAUCACCACAUCACUGGACAAAAGUUGAUGAUAUCUGAAUGAGCUACCAGUGACCCUUUUUUGUUGUUAUUGCCUUGCCUGAGGAAAAGUGAGUUAAAAGAUGAUACCUACAGUGAUGAGGUGGAGUUAUAGAUGGUGCCAUUUCUUCUACCAGCAGCUUCACCAAAACAAUCUUCACUAUACAUGCUGAUGCCUCUUUCCUGUGUAGCAGCAGACACCACCUGCAGAUAAGAAAUGCUUAAGUGAGAAAUGCUCAUUUUGGGAUAUCAUCGCUGAAACUAUAAUUUGGGCAUGGUGACUGUUUCCCUUGCUGCCACUUGACUCAAUCUCAGAAGUUUAAUAGAUAAAAUAAUAUUGUACAAGAUGCUCAAAAUGGUGGAAGUAAUUAGUGCUCCUAUAAAUAUAUAUUGACAAUUUAAAAUAUAACAUAUUAAAAAUAAAAUGCAUAAUUAAACAAACCUGAAUGCAUACUUAUAAAAUUAAUACAUAAAAUUUGUGCUGCCUCUUUUUUGAAGACUACCCCCAUAGUUUCUCUCUGUUAAGAGAAGUGAAUACACGCUUUUAAGUAAUAAAUGUACAAGCAGAUACACAUACUGUCUGGUGGGGGGACUUCUAGUAGUAAUGCCAUAUUAUUGUGCAAAUUGCUACUUUUGUUUGAGUCUUUUUGAUGAGCUUUUGCUGCUAUGUCAUUUAUUGAAUGACAAUAUGUCUGUUUUGUAGAUGCAAUAGAAUUAAAUAUUUUAAAUAUUGCUUAUACAUUAGCAUUUAUAUAGGUGCCAAUUUUCUGCGCAAUAGACUUCCAUAUAUAUUAACAUUUAUGCAUUUAUCUCCUCUAUUAAAGUAAAUUUACCUAGAACACAAAUUAUUGAAAUUAAGUAUAUUUACACUUAAAUUUUUUAUAAUUGUCAUGAUUCUUUUAAGAAUGUGCUUGAAGAGCUUUCUUGUUAGAGUCAAUGAAUUAGAUAGCCCAAUUUUUCAAAAUACAAUUAUGGUAGAUUUUACAAAUGAUUGAGAUCCUUUCCAGUGU